ensembl:lncRNA
CGCACUGCGCGCGUCCCCGUGCGUGUUCUUGGCGGUGGACGCUCGCGAGGGGUCGUGUUUCUAUAACUGUCACAUAGAAAAUACAGACAAAAUAUUAGAUCGUUUUAAUUCACCUUACUCGACUUGUGUAUUAAAAUACACAAAAUUGACCAUAAUAUGGAGCAGUCUGUUGUCAAUGUAAAAAACCUGUCAGAGAAACUGCUCCAGGUGAUUAUUUGAGACUCUCUUCAAAGCGAUUUCAACUCUAGAUGCAGCAGCAAACCUACAGGAUUCACAGAUGGCGAGGAAAAUGGGAAAAACAUGGCUCGAUUGUAAACAACCCAAAGCUGCUGCUGAUUUUUUGAGCCUUGCUGUCAGUAGCCUGGAGAUUCUGCAGAAGAUACAAACACACCAAAGGGAGACAUAGAGAAAGACUUGCUGCCGGUUUUGUCUUAUCAAGCUGAAUCUGAAGUUUCUCAAGAGCAACAUUUAGAGGCAGUGUUAUGCAUACAGCGAUGUAAAGAAAAGCUUCUUCGUCUCCUUAAAGACGUGGAAAAACUGUCUCUGUGUCAAGUGAUGUCAUCGCUUUAUUUGAGAAAUAGAUUUAGAAAAUUCAAACCAUAAAAAGGAAAUAAACCACACUCUUUUGUGCAACUUUGGGGUCGGCACUUUCAGCCAGGGAAAGCAUGAAGAGAGCACAUUUUGGCUAAG